AUGGAGAGUUUGAUCCUGGCUCAGGACGAACGCUGGCGGCGUGCUUAACACAUGCAAGUCGAACGAGAAGAGAUGAGAAGCUUGCUUCUUAUCUCUUCGAGUGGCAAACGGGUGAGUAACGCGUAAGCAACCUGCCCUUCAGAUGGGGACAACAGCUGGAAACGGCUGCUAAUACCGAAUACGUUCUUUUUGUCGCAUGGCAGAGAGAAGAAAGGGAGGCUCUUCGGAGCUUUCGCUGAAGGAGGGACUUGCGUCUGAUUAGCUAGUUGGAGGGGUAACGGCCCACCAAGGCGACGAUCAGUAGCCGGUCUGAGAGGAUGAACGGCCACAUUGGGACUGAGACACGGCCCAGACUCCUACGGGAGGCAGCAGUGGGGAAUCUUCCGCAAUGGACGAAAGUCUGACGGAGCAACGCCGCGUGAACGAUGACGGCCUUCGGGUUGUAAAGUUCUGUUAUACGGGACGAAUGGCGUAGCGGUCAAUACCCGUUACGAGUGACGGUACCGUAAGAGAAAGCCACGGCUAACUACGUGCCAGCAGCCGCGGUAAUACGUAGGUGGCAAGCGUUGUCCGGAAUUAUUGGGCGUAAAGGGCGCGCAGGCGGCGUCGUAAGUCGGUCUUAAAAGUGCGGGGCUUAACCCCGUGAGGGGACCGAAACUGCGAUGCUAGAGUAUCGGAGAGGAAAGCGGAAUUCCUAGUGUAGCGGUGAAAUGCGUAGAUAUUAGGAGGAACACCAGUGGCGAAAGCGGCUUUCUGGACGACAACUGACGCUGAGGCGCGAAAGCCA
rnacentral:rRNA from 1 species